GUGUGGGGGAGGCCUCAGGAAGGCCAGGAAAGGCUUUUUGAAGAAGGGGAUUGAGGCUUGGCUUUGAGGUCAGGCUUCAAAAGGCAUCAAGCAAAACACCCUCUUCCCCAGUGUGAAAGGCCUGGAGGGAAGGAAGGAUGAGGAGCUGUGGAGUAGGGGAGGCAGCAUCAUCAAAACUGCCUAUCUGAGCAUGCAGUCCCUGUGGCUUGGAGACCCCGCCCCCUCUGGACAGAGGGAGAGGUUGUGGUCAGAAGCCUUGAAUGCCAGGAGGGCUCUUCCUUCCUCUGUCCACCUUCUCCCCACACACACAGUGUUCUGGUGACUGUCUUGGAAGGAUCGUCACCCUUCAGCUUUGCACAGAGUCACAGACGGUUGCUGAUGACCUGGGAGCUGUGGACAACCUGAGCAUGGUGCCCUCCAUGACUGAAGCUGCUCCUAUGAGGGCUUAGGAGACAUACAGCUUAAGGAAGCCCAAGGAACAGCAUAAAGUGUGGAAUAGUUCUGCAGAAAAAAAGAGAGGACGCCUGUGCCCUGCGAUGGCCUCUAGGAUUUGUUGAGUCAGUCGCCCAAUACGUAUUCAGUGAGCGUCCAUCAUGUGCCAGGAUUGGGCCAUGCAGGGCAAGGCUGUGAACAGACACACCUGCGCCUUCUUCCUCACCCUCGUGAAGCUCAUGGCCUGCACAGGGGCAGAGGUGCAAGAGGGAGGCCAGUGGGACCAAGGGAGUCAAGUGGACUUGAGAGCAAAUGAAGGGAAGAAAGUCCUUCCUCCAGGAGUAAACCCUGAGCCAGAGUGACUGUGAAAUCUUUGGGAGACUUCCAUGUGCCAAGUGCUUUAAUAUGUGAGAUAAUUUAUAGCAACAAGAGAUCAGUAUUCAUAUCUACAGCUUAUGAACUAAAAAAAAAAUUGCUUAGAGAGAGGAAGCAAUUUUCCCAAGUCACAUGUCCAGUAAAUCACAGAACCAGGGUUCUUUGCCACUCGUACAUUUCCCAUCCUGUUCCUUGGCGUCUCGGGUGCGCUAGUCCCCAUUUACAUGAAACAUCCCCAAACUAAGCCUCUAUCUUGGAGAAAGCUGGGGACAUAUGAUCCCUCUGCUGCCCAAAUCUGGGAACUGGGAGGCAGGAGCCUUUUGUAUUUUGGAAAUCCAGCUGUUUUCUUUUUGCACCUAGAAGCUGGGGGACAGAGGGAAUUGCUUAUUUUCUGGAAAAACCUGGCAAGUUGUUACAUAUUUGGGAGGCAUUUCACACUCCUCCUUUUCUCGUCAUCCUCCCUACAUGUCCCGAAGCUGUUUGAAUUCCUUCCUCACUUGGUGCUUAAAUGCUUAGGCCUGAUGAGAGGAGGAGCCUGACUCUGGGAAGUGCAGUGGAACUCAGCGGGAAAUUACUGGAAGGCUGCACAUGUCUAAGAGCACUUCAGUUUUUCAAAUUGGACUUCAAAUUUAGAAGACGGCAGGUCCCUUCAACAAGUGAAUCUCUUCUGUAAACUUAAGUCAUGCCCUCCACUGGGAGCCCAGCAUCCCGUUGCUUCCAAGUUGAGGUGCUUAUGAAAGUAGCUGUGUAUCAGUGGGGGCUAAGCAUCAGGUACCCGUGGACACAAAGAUGGGAACCAGACACCAGGGACUGCUAGAGAAAGAAAGGGUGGGGACAAGGGAUGGAAAACCACCUGUUAGAUACCAUGCUCACUACAUGGGUCACAGGAUCAUUUGUGUCCCAAGCCCCAGCAUCACACAUAUACCCAUGUAACAAACCUGCACAUGCACCCCAUGAAGAUAAAAUGAGGGUCAAAAUUAUGUUUUUCAAGAGUGGCUGGAAUGGCUAUGACAACCAACACUGAAUGAGGGGUGUCUGGAGGACAGAGGCCACCGCAGUUUCCUGAGAGCCCAGAGCUGCAGUGGAGGCUCUCAUUCAAUCAUUCACUCAUUCAACAGAAAUAAACUGAGUGCUUGCUGCACACAACAAGCCCAGGGCAAGCAUGGGGGCAUGUGACAGUGGCCUGCCUGUCCCCCGGAGUGCACACACAGGGCAAGUCUCUUUCCUCAGUGUAGCUACUUUGAUAGAAACAGCAAGCACCAGAAUAAUUGGGGGGUGAAAGGGCUUCCUGCCAGCCUCACUCAGUCCGUUUGUGUCUCUCCGAGGAGCCCUUGCCUUGCUGGGUCAGUGCUCAGACUCCAGCAGGGUGCACCUGUUCAGAGAGUGCUCUGGGGCAGCAUGGAGGGACAGACGGGAUGUGGGAGGAGGGGAGUGAGCUUCCAAGGAAUGAGGGGGCUGAAGGGAGAGCAGGAGGACAUGUGAGUGGGCAGAAGCCUUGAGUCUGAAUCUCCAGGAGGCUCCACAGUGUCUUCGGGAUCUGCUGAUCUUCAAUAAGAAACCAGCUCUCCAUGAGAACUGACUGGAGGGAUUUCAGUGUCAUACACCAGAUUCCCAGCACAGCUCUUACAUCUGUGAAUGGAUGGCUGUAAUGACCCACACAUGAUAAGAAUCAUACAUGGAACUUUUGUUACUCAUCCAUAUCUGAGAGCUGGAGACUCAAUGCAAUUUAACAAACCCGAUCUCUCCUUCCUCUCAGAGUUCAUUGCCAGCGUUACUGGGGAGAGAUUUAUCAGGAUUGCAAUGUAAACUCAGGGGUGAGCUUUCUCUUCAGCCAUCUAUUUCCAAAGUACGGUUAAUUCUGCUUUAUGUCUUUCUGGACGAUAUGCAAAUGUGUUGACUGAUCUCAUCUCUUUGCUGUGAUAUUCAAACAUACUUG
rnacentral:lncRNA from 10 species